rnacentral:lncRNA from 1 species
UAGUGAUCAUACAAUUCAUUUGAGAACUUAUUAUUUUUCUUACUUUUUAAUAUCUAUAUCCUCAUGGUAUUUUCAAGUGUUCAAUGCAUUUUAUUAAUAAGGAAAUGAAUGGAAGAAAUAAUAACAUCAGUAUUUAGUGCUGAUUGUUUUUGAUCUGUACAUUUCUGUUGGUGCUUUGUGCUUUGAAAAAUAUCUGGGAAGGGCCCUAGAGACAGAAUGAGUGAAAGCUCAUAAAAGAGGAUGGAAUCAAGGGUAAGGGAUACUGGAUGGAAAUUCACAAGUUGGAGGGGAUGAAAAGAAAAAUGAGGAUAAUUGGAAGGUACAUCAAACUCUUGAAACACACAAAUGAUGGUGUUGCCAAUUCCUACUAGCAGUAGAAAUAUGUGAAGUAUCUCUCCAACAAUUCCUUUUUUUCUUUCAGGAAAUAGAUUUUCUUUCCUGACUAGGUGGAAUGGUUUGAGGUGCCUCCAGCAGGAGUCCAUGAGGAAGCUUUAGAAAGGAACUGAUGUUUUUGUCUUUUCAGUGCAAUCCUUUGAGCCCUCCACCAUUGAAUUUCUGAAUGUAGUAACCAGGAAAGAAUGUGCUCUGAAGCCUUAUUCUUCAACUUGGAAAUGUGCCAAGAGAAAACAGCCAUCUUUGGUUGAGGAGAGAAAAACUUGUUCAAUUUACCCAAAAGACUUGGUCCCUGCUGCCCACAUGGGAGCUCAGGAUGUAGUUCCUGGUUCAUGGCUUCAGUAUGGCUCCGCUGGGCUGUUACAGGCAUCUGGGGAGUGAACAGGUAUAUAGAAGAUUCCCUCUCUCUCUCUCUUUUUCAAAUAAAUAAAUAUUUUUAAAAAUUGUUUACUUAUAA